CUUGUCUCAAGACUAAGCCAUGCAUGUCUAAGUAUGAAUGCUUCCAUACUGUGAAACUGCGAAUGGCUCAUUAAAUCAGUUAUAGUUUAUUUGAUGGUUCCUUGCUACUUGGAUAACCGUAGUAAUUCUAGAGCUAAUACAUGCAGAAAGUCCCGACUCUUGGAAGGGAUGUAUUUAUUAGAUCCAAAACCAGCGCGAGUCUCCUCGUGGGUCUCGGUUGCUCGGUGAUUCAUGAUAACUGCUCGAAUCGCAGGGCCUUCGUGCCGGCGAUGAUCCAUUCAAAUUUCUGCCCUAUCAACUUUCGAUGGUACGGUAGUGGCCUACCAUGGUUGCAACGGGUGACGGAGAAUUAGGGUUCGAUUCCGGAGAGGGAGCCUGAGAAACGGCUACCACAUCCAAGGAAGGCAGCAGGCGCGCAAAUUACCCAAUCCCGACUCGGGGAGGUAGUGACAAUAAAUAACAAUGCCGGGCUAUCGUAGUCUGGCAAUUGGAAUGAGCACAACGUAAAUCCCUUAACGAGGAACAAUUGGAGGGCAAGUCUGGUGCCAGCAGCCGCGGUAAUUCCAGCUCCAAUAGCGUAUAUUAAAGUUGUUGCAGUUAAAAAGCUCGUAGUUGGAUUUCGGGGCAGUCCGUCUGGUCCGCCGCGAGGCGAGCACUGGUCGGGCGCCCUUCCUCUCGGAGGCCCCGACUGCUCUUGGUUGCAGUGGUCGGGGAGUUCGGGACGUUUACUUUGAAAAAAUUAGAGUGUUCAAGGCAGGCCGUCGCCUGAAUACAUUAGCAUGGAAUAAUGGAAGAGGACCUCGGUCCUAUUUUGUUGGUUUCCAGGGCCGAAGUAAUGAUUGAGAGGGACAGUUGGGGGCAUUCGUAUUUAAUUGUCAGAGGUGAAAUUCUCGGAUUUAUGAAAGACGAACAACUGCGAAAGCAUUUGCCAAGGAUGUUUUCAUUAAUCAAGAACGAAAGUUGGGGGUUCGA
rnacentral:rRNA from 1 species